CCCUUAGAUGUUCUGGGCCGCACGCGUGCUACACUGAGUGGAUCAGCGGGUCAGGUUGCGCGAAAGUGUUUCCUAAUCUUGAAAUCCGCUAGUGAUGGGGAUUGACGGUUGCAAUUUUCCGUCAUGAACGAGGAAUACCUUGUAAGCGCGGGUCAUCAUCCCGCGCUGAAUACGUCCCUGCCCUUUGUACACACCGCCCGUCGCUCCUACCGAUUGAGUGGUCCGGUGAGGCUUUGGGAUCUGAGCGGAAAGAGCGUUUCGCUGUUUCUGCUCGGAAAACUCAGUCGAACCUUAUCAUUUAGAGGAAGGAGAAGUCGUAACA
rnacentral:rRNA from 1 species